rnacentral:rRNA from 1 species
AGGUCAGGCGGGACUACCCGCUGAGUUUAAGCAUAUCAAUAAGCCGGAAGGAA